UUCUUCUUUUUUCCCUCUUUUUUUCAGCAUCGUUCUCUGGUACUACUUCAACAUCAUCAUCAUCUGAUAUGACUGCAACUGCAGUGACAUCUGGUACUACUACAAUUGCCUCACCAUCUGAUA
rnacentral:lncRNA from 1 species